UUAACCUGUUUAGAAAUGAACAUGGCCACCAGCUGUUUUUGUGGAAGAAGCAAAUUCAACACAAAACAUGUUAGCAUUUUAAACAGAAAGGUUCAAUCCCUUAUAGUUCAUCUGAAUGUGCUUGGAAGUUGAUCCUCUGAACAGAAGUCUGCAUAACUCCACCUCUGCUUCCAGAACCCACCCUACCAUUGACGUCACUUCAGGUUGCAACCCCUUGGACACACUCCUCCCACCUUACCCUUUAUAAAAGCAUCCACUUUUCUUGGGCUCAGUCUGAGGAAAUUACUUGGCUCCAUCGAGCGUUAAUUGAUUACAUUGUGGGUUUAU